rnacentral:lncRNA from 7 species
AAUAUAUGUAUGUACUGUUUUCAAAACAUAAAUUGGUCAAGCAAAGCAUUUAAACCUCUUCAAAAGCAUCGGUCACAGAUUAGCCAAAACAAGUACAAAACAUAUGUAACGGAAGCAAUUUAUAAUGAUACUAGAAUGGGUAACACACCCCAAACUCACCACGCAAACGUGCAAACGUGGUUUGAUCGAGUGGUUUAGUUAGAAUAUCAGCAAUUUGCUGACUAGUAUCAAUGUAUUUAAGCUCAAUAUCACCCUUCUCAA